rnacentral:rRNA from 1 species
CAGCACCGCGGUAAUACAGAGGGUGCGAGCGUUAAUCGGAUUUACUGGGCGUAAAGCGUGCGUAGGCGGCUUCUUAAGUCGGAUGUGAAAUCCCUGAGCUUAACUUAGGAAUUGCAUUCGAUACUGGGAAGCUAGAGUAUGGGAGAGGAUGGUAGAAUUCCAGGUGUAGCGGUGAAAUGCGUAGAGAUCUGGAGGAAUACCGAUGGCGAAGGCAGCCAUCUGGCCUAAUACUGACGCUGAGGUACGAAAGCAUGGGGAGCAAACAGGAUUAGAUACCCCCGUAGUCCCUGUCUCUUAUACA